CGCGAGCUUAUCCACUCUAAGUCUUCACUCUCCACUCCAACCAGGUACAAUUUCCCCUCAAACGAACAAGUACCCUCUACAAGAAUGAUGAUCCUCUUUACAUCUAUUCCCUGCGUGCAUCCAAAAUUCGAUUACCUUGCUUCCCACUCUUCAUUCCGUACCCCUCGGGAUGCUGUGGUCUUGGCAUCGUUGCUCUCAUCACCGAAGAUAACAUCAAGGAUCAAGUUGAUGCAACCCACUUCGAAAUCUUCGAGCUUUGACAACACCCCUUUGAUUUCCAUGGCCUCGGGGAAGAUGAUGGGUUUUAAUAUGUUUGACAAGCGCGUUACGGCUAUUGAUGGGGGCUAUAAACUACGAUGGGAUGUUUUGAAAAGUCCACCUUUCAUCUCAAUGAAUGCUGGAGCAAUAUCCUGGUUGAUAUCUGGGCAAGUGGCUCAAGCAAGUGAAGAAAUCCAUAUGAAUGUGGUUUAUGAAACCGGGGAGUUAUUUGAAUUGGGAAUUCAGCUAUCAUAUUUGCUUUUAUUGCUUGCUCUGCUUGGGGUUGGAACUUUUUUUGUAAUCCGUCAAGUCCUUGUUCGUAGAGAACUUGACCUUUCCGCCAAAGAAUUGCAAGAACAAGUAAGAAGCGGUGAUGGCAGUGCUACUGAGUUAUUUGAACUUGGUGCAGUGAUGCUGAGAAGAAAAGUAUACCCAGCAGCAACCAAAUACUUGCUUCAGGCUAUCCAAAAAUGGGAUGGCGAUGAUCAGGAUCUUGCUCAAGUCUACAACGCCCUUGGUGUGACUUAUGCCCGUGAUGAAAAACUUGAAAAGGCAAUAACCCAGUUUGAAAAUGCAGUGAAGCUUCAACCCGGUUAUGUCACAGCUUGGAACAAUCUCGGCGAUGCUUACGAAAAGAAGAAUGAUUUGAAGGCUGCUUUGAAUGCAUUUGAGGAAGUACUACUAUUUGAUCCAAACAACCAGCUUGCACGGCCAAGGAGAGAUUUUUUGAAGGACAAAGUGAAAAUGUACAGAGAUGUUCCUAUUAAAUCAAAACAACAACGAUGACUGGCAUCUUCUCCACAUUUAUGUUCAGACUAUGAUGGAGUUCUUACAAGAGGUUCAUUAGAAGCUCUAGUAGAUUUUACUAGUUUUGAUGCAAUUAGUGAACUUUAAAGUGUCUCAAAUCAGGAAAUCAUUUUAGUUGUAUCAGUUUCUAAAGUUCCAAAUUGGUGCAAUAAAAAAGUCUUGGUGGCCGCUCGAUUCAUUCUGAAAGUGGUUUUGCAUUGCAGACACGGUGACCAUCAAUGUUGUAAAACCAAUUUGUAUAGAUAAUCCUGACCUGUCUCAUUUUCACAGUUGUUUUGGUGAAAAUUUGUAUAUGGGUUCAAGUCAUAGACCAUCUUAGCCACAUAAUGAAAAAGAUCUAUCAAUGGUGAAAUGUUCCUUUAAAUGCUUGUUUUCAAUCUCAGUUGUGCAGUACCAUUUUCUUCUUCCUCCUUUAACUAAAACUAUUGUGUAACACCAACCUCUUCAUUCAAUGCUUGAACUACCCUAAAAUUUUGCAUUCUUUCAGACACUUAACUUGUAUCUUCUUCUUUUUCUUAUUAACUACAUCCAUUGUAGUUAAUAAGAAAAUUUGUAUAUGGGUUCAAGUCAUAGACCCUCUUAGCCACAUAAUGAGAAAGAUCUAUCAAUGGUGAAAUGUUACUUUAAAUGCUUGUUUAAUCCCAGUUGUGCUGUACCAUUUUCUUCUUCCUCCUUUAACUAAAACUAUUGUGUAGGACCAACCUCUUCAUUCAAUGCUUGAACUACCCU